UACGGGGGGGAGCAAGCGUUGUUCGGAUUUACUGGGCGUAAAGGGCGCGUAGGCGGUCGUGACAAGUCACUUGUGAAAUCUCCGGGCUUAACUCGGAACGGUCAAGUGAUACUGUCGGACUAGAGUACAGAAGGGGCAACUGGAAUUCUCGGUGUAGCGGUGAAAUGCGCAGAGAUCGGGAGGAACACCCGUAGCGAAGGCGGCACUCUGGGCCGAUACUGACGCUGAGGAGCGAAAGCGUGGGGAGCAAACAGGG
rnacentral:rRNA from 1 species